AUUGAACGCUGGCGGCAGGCCUAACACAUGCAAGUCGAACGAGUGGCGGACGGGUGCGUAAUGUCUGGGAAACUGCCCGAUGGAGGGGGAUAACUACUGGAAAAGGUAGCUAAUACCGCAUACCAUCGGAGGUGCCCAGAUGGGAUGAGCUAGUAGGUGGGGUAACGGAUCACCUCGGCGCCGAGCCCUAGCUGGGCUGAGAGGAUGACCAGCCACACUGGAACUUAGACACGGUCCAGACUCCUACGGGAGGCAGCAGUGGGGAAUAUUGCACAAUGGGCGCAAGCCUGAUGCAGCCAUGCCGCGUGUAUGAAGAAGGCCUUCGGGUUGUAAAGUACUUUCAGCGAGGAGGCGUUACUCGCAGAAGAAGCACCGGCUAACUCCGUGCCAGCAGCCGCGGUAAUUC
rnacentral:rRNA from 1 species